GAUGAACGCUGGCGGCGUGCCUAAUACAUGCAAGUCGAGCGAACAGACGAGGAGCUUGCGCCUCUGACGUUAGCGGCGUACGGGUGAGUAACACGUGGAUAACCUACCUAUAAGACUGUGAUAACUUCGAGAAACCGGAGCUAAUACCGGAUAAUAUAUUGAACCGCAUGUUUCAAUAGUGAAAGACGAUUUUGCUGACACUUAUAGAUUGAUCCGCGCAGCAUUAGCUAGUUGGUAAGGUAACGGCAUACCAAGGCAACGAUGCGUAGCCGACCUGAGAGGGUGAUCGGCCACACUGGAAGUGAGGCAGGGUCCAGACUCUUAAGGGAGGCAGCAGUAGGGAAUCUUCCGCAAUGGGCGAAAGCGUGACGGAGCAACGCCGCGUGAGUGAUGAAGGUCUUCGGAUCGUAAAACUAUGUUAUUAGGGAAGAACAAAUGUGUAAGUCAAUAUGAACGUAUUGACGGUACCUAAGCAGAAAGCCCCGGCUAACUACGUG
rnacentral:rRNA from 1 species